rnacentral:guide_RNA from 1 species
AAAUAAACGAUUAGAUGUAUCACGUAUAGAAUAAAGAUGAUGAUUGUAAUUAU